CUUGCAAACUAAAGAUGGCGACCGGCGCACGGGUGAGUAACACGUAUCCAACCUGCCGAUAACUCGGGGAUAGCCUUUCGAAAGAAAGAUUAAUAUCCGAUGGUAUAUUAAAACCGCAUGGUUUUACUAUUAAAGAAUUUCGGUUAUCGAUGGGGAUGCGUUCCAUUAGUUUGUUGGCGGGGUAACGGCCCACCAAGACUACGAUGGAUAGGGGUUCUGAGAGGAAGGUCCCCCACAUUGGAACUGAGACACGGUCCAA
rnacentral:rRNA from 1 species